UACGUAGGGGGCAAGCGUUGUCCGGAUUUAUUGGGCGUAAAGAGCGUGUAGGCGGCCAGGUAGGUCCGCUGUGAAAACUCGAGGCUCAACCUCGAGAUGUCGGCGGAAACCAUCUGGCUAGGAGUCCGGAAGAGGAGAGUGGAAUUCCUGGUGUAGCGGUGAAAUGCGCAGAUAUCAGGAAGAACACCCGUGGCGAAGGCGGCUCUCUGGGACGGUACUGACGCUGAGACGCGAAAGCGUGGGGAGCGAACAGG
rnacentral:rRNA from 1 species